CACAAUCUUAUUGCUGGUACAGAAGUUUGAUAAACACAUUGUAGAAUGGCUUUUUCUGAUCCUUAUUUAUUCAUUUAUUUGUUGUUUUGUUUGUUUCUUUGUUUGAGACAGAGUUUCUCUAUGUAGCCCUGGCUGUCCUGGAACUCACUCUGUAGACCAAAGUGGCCUUGAACUCAAGGAUCUACCUGCCUUUGCCUCCUGAGUGCUGGGAUUAAAGGCAGAGCAGGGAUGCUGCCAGCAGCCACAGUGGUACGGCCAGACUGAUGGAUCCAUUGAUUCCUCUCACCGACCCGGGUCCUGCAGAGCAAAAGAGAGAGAGACAAGAUAAGCACCUUCUGCCAGUUCCACUUGACAGCCAAAUAAAGCUGGAAAGAGAGGCAAGGCGUGGCCAGUAUGCAAUGGCUCCUGCUUGAGAAGCUGCUACCCACCCUCUCCACAUGAUUCCUGUGAAGCCAAUACUGAUUAAGAUUCCAAGCGCUGGUGUGGUUCCUCCAGGAGCCCAAUACAGGCUCUCCCUGGAGACGCGUCAGAGCAACUCCAUCAUCUCAGAUGAGAGAGCCGGCAGCCCAGCUAAGCUGCAGCAAGUGAGGCUUUGAAGAGUGAAGGAAAUUGAGGCAGAGGUGAAAUGUCAACUGUUUCCACGCUUCAUCUCAUCAGUCGCUGCUUAGCGGUUAUGUCCGAUGUGGGUGUCAGAGCCAGCGAUGCGUUUACCUGAAUAGUCACCAAGCAACUGUAAAACUCUGAGAGCUCUGCCACUGGGUAGUGGCCAUUCUACAAAAUGAGUCCUUAACCAAGGACACUUAAGAUGAAGCACAUAACGGAUGGGAGAGCGGGUAGGAGGGAGCUGAGUAACUCGCUUCAUCCCAGGGAUUUAAAAGCUGGGAUCCAACCCUCAGUCUCACACAGGCCAGAGAAGCGCCCAACCUCUCAGCUCCACCCUCAAUCUGAGGCUGUGUGAGGGCCCAGGUUAUAAGCGGACGGCUGUUUCCGUGACUAAGAACCAGUAUCGAAACAGCUGAGAAGUCCUACCAUGUCAUCAUCAUUUGAGGACGGAAAGUCAACAUCACCUAGAAAGACGCUGGUCAAAAUGGAAUCCCACACUUUCCUUCUGCGUACCUGAGGGCUUUGCUCUGUAGGGCUGACAGUUAGCAGAAAAGGUCUGCUGCUGGCUAGAAGCAGGGACGGUGAUGCAAACUCACCAAAAUACUGUGAUCCUAGACACAACAAGUGAAUCAAUAGACGUGGACUAAAGUUUAAAUGGACAUAAUUUGUUAUUAAAAUAUGAACAAAAAUCUCACCAGUUGGUUCAUCAAACUUCCAUAAACCACAGAUUCUAUGAUGAAGAGAAUGCAAAAAGAGCCUUUAAAAAGGGGAGAUGAUUUUACUAAUUUAUUUUACUUUUUAAAAUAUAGAAGAAAUAAGACUCCAGGGGGAAAUACCAAUACUUCAGGAUAGAGGGAAUAAGUAGGUGUUCUUAAACCUGAAUGAGAGUCCUGGAGGUAGCACAAGAGAAACCUUUUGUAAGGCAAGCUUUACGCCUAAGACUUGGAAGAUCCUAUGAACAUGCUAUGGCAGAAGGGCUGGACAACAGGAGGCUGCUUCUUACCCUACCUCUGCUCUAACCUUGAGCAAGACACAGAUGUUUCCCAGCCUUAGAGGAUGUGGGAAAUAGGGAAGAUUCUAAAGUAUGUGAACAAUACGAGUAUUAAAAUAAGGUGUUCACUUAUAUCAUAUCAAUGAUGUCAUCUCUGAGGAAAUAGAUUUUAUAUGAUCUUCAUUUUCUUUUUUGUAGUUUCAGGAUUUUAAAAAACCUUGUCAUGAGGAGAUAUUGUCUUUAUUUUUAAAAUAGAAAACUAUAGAAAACAAAUCAUGCACUUAAAAAUAUUUGAAGGGUAGUAUGGAAACAAAACAGUAAGUAGAAGCUUCCCAAAAUAUGUACAUAUAUGAAGGUGAUCUAAAUGAAACCAUCAAAUAAUGGGGGAGACAGAGCCCAAGUUGGUCAUCUCUUGUCAACAAGUAAAACCUUCAGUACUGGGAAUGCCUAACAUCUAGUUGCUUUGUUUGCCAAAGGGGUCCCAUGGGGCCACCCAACAACCUCGGCUGUUGCAAAGAAUGUAAGUUGCUCUGCACAAACUGAUGACAAGGUUCCAUUGUUGAAGUCAGCACCUGAACAAUUCAUCACAUGGAAAAGCCAAGCUGGUGCCUACAUUGCGCCUUUACCCCUAUAGGCUAGCAUCGUUGGUACAGGAAGAGUACUCCGUAUAUUACCAAAGGAGAAACAUAAACACAAACCCGGUUUCAUUAUAAUGGUGUCCUGUCUGCUAAACCAACUAGUGCAAUGGUGGCGCAAAGCUUGUGAGAGUCAUCAACCAAUGUCUGGUUUGACUUAAGACCCUCUCCACAAGAUGGAAUCCAUACCCAACAUUGCUUGGGUGACCAAGAACCUGAAACUAGACAGCCCAGGGACAUUGGGUAAACCAAAAUACUACUGUUCUACUAACAGCAUAGCAAUAAGAUGACUCCUAAUGACAUUCUGCUAUACUCAUAGACCAGUGCCUUGCACAACCAUCAUCACAGAAGCUUCCUCCUGCAGCAGAUGGGAGCAGAUACAGAGACCCAUAGCCAGACAACUUGCAGAGAGUGAGAAGAGACCUUGGAACUCUUAGCCUACAUGGGAUGUCUCCAUCAAAUCCCUCUCCUUGGGGAUCAGAGAACCCAACAGAAGGGGAGGAACAAGGAAUGUAAGAGCCAGAGGGGACAGAGAACACUAAGCACACAAGGCCCUCUAAAAUCAAUGGGAUCGGUGUACAUACGAAUCCACAGAGAUGGAGGCAGCCUGCACAGGAAGUUUCCUGGGAAGCACUCUCAAUAUCAGGAUGAGAGAAAGGACUACAGGAGGAAGUGGAACUGGACAGAGAAAGGAGACCAGCUCUAUGAAGAACCCUAAGCCCAAAUCAUGCCUCGAGUUGUCUGGUAUGGUGGAAAGGGGGUCUUUAGACAUCCUAGUCUCACAUCAGUUAGUCACCGGUUCAAGCCGCUGUGCUUGGCUGAGGGCAAUGCAUAAGGAGCACCUCGGCUGAGAGCCGUCAGCUGCCGAUGCUUCAAGCAGAAGGAAAAGGACAUGCUCCAGGCUCGGAGGAGUAAUCUCGGCCAGGUGCCAUUCACGACCAAUGGUAGGACGUGUUCUCAGCUAGUGUCAUUCCAUAGGCUAGGACAGCUGGUAAAGAAAGUGGCCCCCACGAUCCUGAGUGCCCACAAUCUUCUCUGGUAAUUUCAGGGAAAGUUCUGAUUGGCCUUCGAAGGAAGGUUCUGAUUGGCUUGAGUCAUGGGCUCACCACUAAUAUGCUUCUCUGAUUGUUCAAGUCUGGAUUAUACAUUUAAAACUGUAUUAUUUUAAGACUAUACUUUCUUUUUUUUUCUUUUUUUUUUUUUUUUUUCUUUUCGAGACAGGGUUUCUCUGUGUAGCUUUGCGCCUUUCCUGGAGCUCACUUGGUAGCCCAGGCUGGCCUCGAACUCACAGAGAUCCGCCUGGCUCUGCCUCCCGAGUGCUGGGAUUAAAGGCGUGCGCCACCAACGCCCGGCCUAAGACUAUACUUUCAGGGAUUAUUCCUAUAGUUCGUUACUAAAACUGUAUUAUUUUGUAUGUAUUAUGCACAUUCCUUUUUAAAUUCAGGUAUUAUGACAAUAAUCUCAAGUACUUGGAUGCUUGUGUAUAUCUGUGUAACCAUCACCUAAAACAAGAUCUAGAAUGUGUUCCUUCUCACACAGUUACCUCUUUGCUGUGAAUUUGAGAAGAGUAAGUUUUAAUUUCUACUAUUUUAAGUGUUUCUGGAUGUCAUGUCAUUAUGAACAUGUUACAAACUAAAAAGUUGUAUCUAGGAAAAAUUUAAAAGUUUUUUUUUUUUUUUUUCUGAUUACUUGGCACCUGGUUGGCAGUAUUUUAAGGCAACUGCAUCCGUCCCCUACAAGUUGAGUUGGUGGGUAUCACAUACUGAGGCGGAAGAGAAGCCAGCAUGGUUGGACUCUAAUUUCUCUAAGGACCAUGGCUUCCCAGUGUGAAGUGGGAGGGCAAUAGAAGAGGCUUAUGCAGAGCUAUGGACCCUUCCGACCACACGCUGAAUGUCCUGGCGACUCUUCCUAGAAAGGAUCCGACCGCUACAGGCUCUGCCCCAUGGAUGGUUACAGAAAAGACAGUCUCAUUAACCACUCACAGUGUGAACAGACCGCCUCAGUCAGUCUCCUACAUCAAGGCUGCUUUUUCAAACCCUGAGGGUUCCUUAUUCACCCUGGUAGGUUUAAUUUUUAAUAAUCAGUGAACUAAAGUGUUCCAGAAUGCCCAUAGGCUUAAGUUUAAUAAAGAGUUCUCCGGGUCCGUAAUGUAGAAAAAGUACGUAUAAGAUCAGAACACUCAAAGAGCAAGGACGCUUGGCACAGUUGUCAGUGAGAGGCUCCUGGCCAGGCAGGUAGUUUCUAUCUUUGUCCCUAGAGUGUCGCACCUGUGGGUGCCAUCUUGGUCCUUAGCCUCCUGCUGUAACGGAGUCCAGUUAACUGCCACAUAACUACCCAACCUAAGCCCACUUUAGUUGCGGAUCCUAUUUAGUUGUUAAAGCAGAAACUAGAGUCUAACAUCUCUGUUUUAAAAUACACAUAUUCGGUAUGUUUUAAUGAUUUUUGCCCCUUCAUCUAUUUGAAUUGCUAAAAAAAAAAAGGAUUAAAUGCAAAGGUUUGAUAUAUCUCUAGAGGUAUAUCUCUUUUUUCUUUUUCUUGCCUCUUUUUGGUUUUACUCCCUGCUUCCUAUUUCCAGGGUCUAAAUUGUGAAUUCCAGAAUCAUUUAAACGUACAUUUUAGAUUAAAAAUCCCGAGGGAGUCAAUGCAAUCUUUAAUCCAUGUAACGUGAGUUUUCAUUUUGUAUGUUUCAAAUUCAAAAACAUUCGAAUGCCAUGAAAUGAAUACGUAACUGGCCUGUUGAAUUUGAAUGCAGAGAGAAUAAGGGAAUCCGUGAGAUUUCCUAGGGUUUAAAAGCUCCUGAAAAUAAGAAGAUAAGGGAUUUUAAAAUGUUGGUGUGCUCUGAGGUCCCCCUGCGUCUGCCUCUGUGGAGCAAAACGUCACAGUGUAGGCCUUGGUAAGGGAAGCAAUGCCUCUGGCCCUUUCUGGUGACUUUCUUUCUUUAUCUCCAGGAAACCUUAGUCACAAAGUUUCUGUUUCUACAGCGCCUUCUGUAUACUCCUGUUAUAACUGACCCCAAGUAUAGCAUCCAUCCAAGCUCUUCCUAAACUUCCUACAAACAGGGCUGUUUCCUUACAACCUGACCAUUCCUACAACUAAAACCAGAACCUACCACAAACUCGGAUAGAAGGCUGUAAGUUUUCUGCACCCCAGCACACCCCAGACAAUUAACCUUGGACCAUGCUGCUACCAUAGAGCACAUAAUAUCCAUGCUUGCCUGGACGGCCAGUCCAAUGUGACCUUUCUCAUAACAAAGCACAAAUGUUUACCAUUUCUUUCAUAACCUCGGCCUCCCUUCCUCCCUCCCUCUCUCCCUCCCUCUCUCCCUCCCUCCUUCCCUCACUCUCUCCCUCCCUCCCUUCCUCCCUCUCUCCUUCCCUCAUUCCUCUUGUCUUCUCUCCUUGCCAAAUACAAAAGAACAGAAGUAAGAAAUUUAGGGAAAAUGCUUUUUCCCUAGACUUUAAGAAUCAAAUGGGCUUUAUAUUGAAUACAUAUCAGUGAGGCUCUUCCUGGAUUCUAGACUUCUGUGUGUGCUGGGAAUCUCUGCUCCUCAAAUCCCUCUCCCCCUUUUACUGUCCAUCUUCCCUUUCCCAGGGAAAGCACCCUUGGCCUGCUGACCUAAGUACCCAGUUCUGUUUUCCUCAGCAUCUUGCAGGUGCCCUCAUAUGGUACUUAACAAAGCCGACUUGGUUGCUUAAUCACCUACACCACAGACUUUUCCAUGGUGUCUGUAAACCUUCCUUGUGUAGACACUGUGCCUAGCUCUGUACACUUACCCCCAAAGGCCCAGCUCAGAACACAUUCUAGGAUAACAUCUCUUUGAGUAAAUCAAUGGUAUCUUCAUAAUAGUGUUCAUGGCCAAAUUAACUUAGCUUGAGCCAAAGAUGAGUUUUGAUUGACAGUUUUCAAGGCGUGUUCUUUCUUAUGUUCCUAGUGAGUAGGCAGCUUAGGAAGAGAAAACGUGAACUCUAAAGGAAACACUACAAAGCAAAAGCCAGAGCAAGUGGGAAGCAAUGAGAAGUCCAGAGUUGGGGAGUCAGAAUGUGAGCUUUGAGCCUCCAGGGAAUCAUUCUCUCUUUUCCAGUUGCCCUCAGAAGCAUUCCAUGGCAAACUUACCUGUGUUCUGGAACUCUCGGGAGAUAAUUUGAAAGUUCCCCAAGUUACAGGAGCUUGUGCAAUCAACAACGAAGUACAAGUUAUUGCUUAGAGUCUGCUCCCCAAACAGUCCCUGCUUCCGAGUAGUGAGAAAGCAAACCAAACUUGUAAUUUUAAAAAAACCAUUGUCCAAUGGUCAAAUAGGUUUUCAAGAUAGAACAUGGCUGGGGACAUUUGGAGCUGUGUGAGCUAGAGCACAUGGGAUAGCUAGAAUGAACAUCCUAGGUACUGUUCUCUUCAACUGCCUUUAAUAGCUCUGCCCUCCCUGUCCCCACCCCCAACCCCUGCUGAAAGGAUGCUAUGCUUGCCCCCGUGUCCUCUUGGGCAGUGGCAGAAGUCAUGCUGGAAAUACAAGGUCUCUAAGGUGGAAAGAUAAGCAAGAAACUUUUUCCUAUGACUUAGUCGAGAUAUCAUAUUGGCGGUGCUCUGUAGGUGUCAAGUGUGCCUACAGACAUGUGGGGAGUGUUUUCUUCUUGUGUUAGUGAAAAGCAGAGCGGUGUAGUACACAGUGGCAAGCUCGGCUCCCCGGUGUCCAACUAGAAAGCAUGAUAAAUGCUCGUAAGGUCUCUCCUCCCCCCCAGUUCGUGGUGGAUAUAAGCUGACAAUUCUCAGCGGAGUCCCGGUGAGUAGUGGGCCGACUCCCCUCAUACAUCUGGCACGUAUGAACACCUUAAAUUGGAAUUCCAUUCUCAUUAGUUCAUGCUGUGUUCUGACUUGGCAGGUGUGUGUGCUCACAGCAGUGUGCAAGGGGAGAUGUAAGGGGCGUGCUUUACCUUUCGUUUUCUCCAUCAAAGUGCUCGUUUAAUUUAAUACCUACAAAUAACUUAGGAUGAUGAAAGAGCAUCGUGAGGAAAGAGGGACCGUGUAAGGAAGUGGUUACUAAGGUUAAUUUGUAUCCCACCUCUUUAGAGAUUGCUGUUUCCUUCAGACAGAUUCUACAGUGGCUCUCUGGUGUUUGCUUGACAGUGACCCAUGUUUAGAAGUGAUCACUACGACUCUCCAAACUUCUCUUUUUGUUCUGUUUGAAGGGAGUCCUAGAGACUAUGUACAGGUGAAUUCAAGAUUAACCUGAACAAAAUGUAGAGAAAAAGAAAAUCGAGAAAUACAUAUACAAGGAUAAGAAUUGCAGGUAAUAGAGGAAGAGGGAACCAAGGAACAGACUGAAGAUAAGGUUUAUGUUCACGAGACUAUGGUAGGAUAUUUGUCAAGGUCUGGGAACACACUGAUUCCUUAGUACUUGGAGGAAUAUGUAAUAUAUCCUGUCUGGGUAGAGGGAUACUGAAGAUUAAACCAAAGACUCAUCACAUGCUAGACAAGCACUUUAUCACUGAGCUACUUGCUCAUUUCUCUCCCUCCCCCUUCACUUCUUAGUGCUUUCUUUAAGGUCCCUAGCUCCAUACCAUGUCCAGGAACCCAGAGACAAGCUCCUAAAGAAAGAGUCUACUCCAGCUCUACCUGCAAUGCCUCUCACAGUACUUUCAUAUUGAAUAACAUGUGGGGAACACUAAGGAGAAUUCUGCUAGGGUGCACUCUAAAGACCAGAGGAGCCCACACCAGCCUUUUCUGUCCAUUCAGGAACCCAGUCUUCUUAGCCUGUGUAUGCCAACAUUUUCCACUGCAAAUCUUAUUGAGCUCUUCAUAGGCAGCUUUAUUCCUUUUAAUUAAAAAGACAAGACUGCCAAUUACUUAAACUUAAUCCCCAAAUGUAAUUGUUACUUUGAAAGAUUCUUUUCCAUAAAGCUCAUACAAGAGUAAUAUUUCCAUCAAAUUAAAAUUUAGUGGAAGCUUGGAUUUUCAAAAAAAAAAAUAUUCAUUUUCGAAUCCCAGCUGGCUGUAGAAAUCAAAAUAGCACAACAAGGCAUAAGCAAAGGGAAGAGACCAGGAAAGGCUGGCUGGAGUCAGCAGAUCCACACUAGAGGAAUAGGAAAAGAUGAGAAGAAAAGUCCCAGCACUCAGGAUUUUCCUGCCUGGAAAUGUAUGCUGUAGGGCAUUUAGCCAUUUAGCUUGAAGCUAAAUGUAAAUCCAGAGAGAUAUAACACUGCAAAGCUGUUGUUGGACAUUUCAGUAAUGUGGUGGGUAAAUUUCAUAUUGAUUCGUGUUAGCAGAUUUUAACAAGAAUGGUUUAGGAGACAAAUCAAGUGAAGAGUAGAAAGGUGGAGAGAGGUAAGACAUGGACAUGAGGAUAAGACCUCGCUUGUUACAGUUGGGUCUAAAUCAUUCAGUGUCAUUCAGUCUCUUACUGAUGCCCUGUGAAAUAAUGGUAUGGCCGGUGUAGUCACUCACAAGUGAGGAAAAUCAACAGGAAGACUGUUGCUCACUAUCUGAAGGAGCCAUAGGAGAAUGUGCGCAGAUUGAGCCUUAGUUGUUUUCUUGUGUGUUAACUGCGGCCAGUGGUAAUUCUGUGAGUUUGUUAUGUCAUGGCUGCAUAAGUCUUCUCAGGAGAAAUAAGACCUUUAUUUCUGUCAGCCAAUAGGAAGGGAGAGAUGUGUUUUGAAACUCCCUAGACAUGAUCUAUAUCUUUGACUGGGACAAAUGGCACAUUCUUUGGCUUGUUGACUUUGAAAUACCAUGAUGAGGUAGUGUGCAUGAUGGCCGUCAUUGAGAAGGGCCAUACAACAGAGAAGGGCGCCAUUUUGAGGUUCCUCUUCAAGAUGUUUAUUCUGGUAUGAGUAAAAACUAAGACAAAAUCUUCUUCUUUUUCUCUUGUUCUUGAAAUAGUUUUAUUUUAAACAUCUUAGCAGGGUGGGCAUGGAAAACAUGCUUGAGAUUCACAACCAUCAAACUAUAAGGAAGCUACACACAAGUCAUGUGUACCUAAUGCUUGUGUCCACAUGACAUGAACGUACCUCUCAGGAGAGUGGUUUUAAAAGCCAUAGGAAGGGUGUGCAACUGAAUAUGAUUAUUUGAAAUUCAAUAUACUUUCUUUCUAGCGUUCUUCAUAUAAUAUUUAAAAUACCACUUUGAGCUUGUAGGCAUGAAAAAUACAAUUUCUUUCCCAUUUCACAGUUGGAAAAACUGAAUUACAGAGAACAAUGCUAGUAAUUACCCAUAAUUAAUAGAGGUGUGUAUGCAAAUCAGUCUGAAUAAGUGUGUGAAAUUAGAUGUAGUGAUGCUAGACAGUCUUGUUUCUGUGUUUUUAAAAUGCUUUCAUGUAAAUCUCUGUGUUAGUCAGGCAUACAAAUAUGACUUUCCAAAAAUGUAUGGAUAAUAAAGUGACUAUUAUGUAUGUAUGUAUUGUAGUGUGUAAAAUGAAUUAGAUGAAUCAUUGCAACUUGAUAGAUAGGUGCAUAUCUAAUGAGCAUUAUGAAUGCAUACAUAAUGUUGGUUAGUAAUGCAUUAUAUGGAUAUAUAUAUAUGACCUAGGUUUAGCAUGAGGUAGAGUGGAUUUCGGUAUACUUGGGUCAUUAAAAUGUGGGAAGUGUUAAUUUCUGAUGAUUGUGGGAGUUAGUAAAGAUAGUACAUACAAAAUACCUUAGAAGGAAUUGGUAAAUGAGAAACACACUAAACACAUUAGAUAUUAUUGUUAUUCUUCAUACUACCAGUGCUGUAGCAGAUGAACCUGUUAGAUUUAGGAGUUGAUAGGGGCAUCUCCUCCUUGAUUUCCAGCAUGAUAUAUUCAGAAAAUAAAUGAAAACACAAGGUUUAUCCAAGCAUCUCUACAGCAUGGGAUAUAUGCAGGGUUUUUUCUCCUCCCAUUUUCCCUUCCAUUCUCUUUGAGCCUGAUUUGAAGAACCCAUUCCUGGGAAAGCCAGGUAGGAGCAAGUGUAUCUCUUUGUAUACCGUAACUGGAGUCUGGCUGUUUAGAUGCCAGAUUUACCCAUAAGGACACCAGUCUCAUUUGGGGCGAAAGCAAAAUAGGGCAACUUCAAAUUCGUGUAAACCUGGUUUAUUUGCAGGUUGGAUUGUACUUUCUUUUUUAAAUUUAAUUUUGGGGAGUUUGUUUGUUUUCAGAGUGAGCUUUUCGAUAGCCACAUUAAUCAUGCCAACCCAGCCAUGUGCAAUGUUUUAUCAAUGGAAAAACAGGGACUGAAUGGCAAGCAGCUGUGAACAAACCCAGCGUGAUGCCUGAACCUGGAAGAUAAUCUCAACAUUUCCCAGAUCUACUUGCCGCAUGGGGUUAGUGAUCAGAAAGGCUGUUCACUUGGGAUAAACAAUCAGAUGGGAGACAAACAAAUGAGACACAGUCAUUCCUGUUUUUUUUUUUUUUUUAAAUUAUAAUCUAGGCAGUGAUUGGAGAAGGGUGGGCUGAUAAAGCCCUGAGAGCCACAUGCUCAAGGGAAAUUUUGCUUAGAAGCUGUAAAGACAAAACAAUGGUGGUUGUCCUUGGCCUCCCUUCUUGAUUUUAACUUUUUAAUACUGUUUUCAUUGCCUCAGACUGAACUGUGCUUCUUGUCAGGGCGAGGGCGUCUUCCAGCACAAGUCAGGUAAGGGGAGACACCACCAAUGCCCAGGUUCACAGAAGCCCUGGGAAAUGGCUCGAGCCAAACAGAGUGAGAAAAAAAUACCUCAGAAUUUUAGAACUGACUCUUCCGUCAUUUUACAAUUCAGUGGGUUUUCUGCAGUGAUAUAGUUGAGAUAUUUAUGCAAAUACAUGCAAUUCAGGACUUAUUUCAGAAUGAAUAAAUCUAAAUUAAAAUUAAUGGGAAAAUUCAACUAUCAGAAACAAAUCAAGGAAGGAACAAUACUUAUUUUCCAUAUAUAUUAAUAAUUAAUGAUUAAUAUCCUGAUUAAUAUAUCUGUAUAUUAACUAGGGAACAGGGAAGCACCCUGCUUUUGUUGUUUUGUUUCAUGUUUGGCCCAGAGGUAAGGGCAUUGGAAAAUUUCUAAUUGGCCACAGGAAAUAGACAUUAAUGUUUGGUAUCAUCUGUAUACUGGAAUCACUGCAGGCAUGGCAGUGCAUUCCCAGAUGACCUGAGGGCCACUGGUGGUUAGGGACAUGAGAGGAUGAGAGGGGCAACCCUCUGAUGUGAGGCACUAAGGAAGAAGCCAUUGUAAUUAAAAGUGUUUCAGCUGGAUUAUGGUUAGGGGAUGAAGUUCUCCUUUCUAUUGAAAAGGGCAGACAAUGGCCUUUGUGACUUUCAAGUCACCUUGAAGAAAUCAACUGGUCUAGCAUCCUUCAGGCCAUUUGCCUCAAACCACAAACACAAGACAUAGUUAACACUGUGGAGGUAGAAGCUAAGAGUCCAUGUAGAUGAGGACAAUAUAUAAUAGUUAAUUAAAUAAGGGAAUCACGCACAACAGUGGUGACCACAGUAAGACAUGCUUUAGAGGAAUUGUCACUCUACAGGCCUAGGCAUUCUGUCAUUGACUUUUCUUUCUAUGGGGAAGUGCAUUUCAUGCGGGAGGCCCUCUUGAUUGGAAAGAGAAGGAGAAAGUGAUUGGGUCCCUAGGAAGGUGGUGUCCUUGUAAAGGACAGUCGGCUCAAGAGAACCAGAAAUUCUCCAGGGACAUUUCACACCAGAUAUCCCGUGUCUCCACGAACAGCUUUUCAAUCCCUGCUAGCAGAAGCCAAACGUAUUAGUAGAAGAUGAACUAUAUUCUCUAAACACUAUCUAAGAAAGCUAACUACAGUCUACAUACAACGCAAAAAUCAAACGAGGGUCAUUCUCCAAUCAACAGUUCAGUGUGUGGGAAGCCAAGUUCCAUAAAAUUCAACAAGGUCAGUCCCUCAGUGAGACUAGCGUUCGGCAGCUGUCCUCUGUGAAUGGCGUCUGGCGUCACUUUGUUCAACCACAAUGCAUGAUCAGAUAAAUAUUUGAGUUUGUGGCUGCAGAACCGCUGUCACAGAGACACUCAGAGUCAUCCUGAUACUGUGAGAAGCUCAUCUUGGACAGGGCAUGACCCCUUUGCAAAUGUAAUUCACUGGGGCAGAUGUGUGUGUGUGUGUGUGUGUGUGUGUGUGUGUGUGUGUGUGUGUGUGUUUUCCUUAUCAAGAUACAUUUGCAAGAUGCCAACAUGAUAAAAUGGUGUCAAUCUCCGUGGCAACACUAGAAGCUAAAUGUCUUAAAAUAAUUGUGGCAUGUCAGGAACUCAAGAUGGAAUAUUUUCCACAAAUGCUGCACUUCAUGUCAAGUCUGAAAACCAGGCACACUUUAACAGUUUUAUUUUUAGUGGCCAGGGUAAGGAACAGAUUUCAUUAAUGCUUUAGGGAAGUGAUUUUGUUCAACUGAGUUCUAAGUUUUAUACCAAAAUAGUCUAGACUGCUCUUAAAAUUUAUUAAGCUGUCUUGUCAGCCCUAGAAGCUUUCUACUACUCAUUGUAAAUACAAUUAAAGCAAGUUUGCAUAUAUGUGAAUGCAUACAUAUGCAAAACAUCACAUUAUUGACACUCUAAAGAUAUCCUGCUCUGAAUUUCAGGUUGGACAAGUUAAUGAAACACGAUCCAUCUUCAAAUUUAUGAAACAGUAGCUUUCUUCAUAUAAUUCUGAGCACACUUUCCUUAUAGUGUGUAUGAUCAUCUUAUUUAAUUGGAUUUAUUUUUUUUUCCACACUAGGCCCUGCAUGGCCUAGUUUCCAUUUUUUUUUUUUCUCACGUCUUUGAGUGUUAUUUGCGAAUCACUUUUCUGGGAUUUAAUUUCAAUGGUAGGUUGGUUUCAUUUCAAUUUUUUUGUAUUAUUUUAAUUUUAUUUGCCAAUUUGCCUUUAAAUACCCUUAAGCUAGAAAGUUGUGGCUGUGACUUUGCAUCUAAAUGUGAUGUAGGAGGCAGAAUUUAAAUUGGAUGUGUAGAGAGUUUUUGAAAAGAAUACAGAGUGACUAUUUCAUAAAUUGUUAUUUGUGUUUUCAAAAGCAUAUAUGUUUAAAAGGUAAAACACACAAGUUGGCCAAGAGUUUAGGAAAAGCAGUAUUGUGUAAUUGUGUUGUGUUUAGUCUUUGGGAAAUACAUUUUAUAAGCAGCACCAAUGCUUAUAGCACUAUAGAUUCAGAGCCUAUAAACAUUUGUGUUUGGGGUGGCCAGUAGGAUCUUUAAUGUGCAUUUUGUGGGUGAGAGAGCUACAGCACCCAGGCAGCUGUGUUCCCAAUAAGGAAGCUCUUAGAGACCUAUAAUAAAAACAGAUUGAAAAUACAUUAUUCCCUAUCUAUCUAACUUACUGAUUGAAAUUAAGUCAGUGACACACCUGUUACUCUCAAUAGAUUGUCUUGUUUUGCAGUGUUUAUGGGGAAAAGAUAACUUCUAAUAAAUGUGAAUUCUGAGAAUGUA